rnacentral:rRNA from 1 species
AUUGAACGCUGGCGGCAUGCUUUACACAUGCAAGUCGAACGGCAGCACGGGCUUCGGCUUGUUGGAGAGUGGCCGACGGGCGAGUGAUUUAGCGGAACGUCCCCAGCUGCGGGUGCUUAGGUAGCGACGGUUACAAUCUUACGGUAAUCGCUCAUUGGACCUACGGGGGGAACCGGAAGGUCUUGUGCCCUUGGGGCGGCCGAUAUGCGCUUAGCGAGUUGGUGAGGUAACGGCUCACCAAGGCGACGAUCAGUAGCUGGUCUGAGAGGACGACCAGCCACACUGGAACUGAGACACGGUCCAGACUCCUACGGGAGGCAGCAGUGGGGAAUUUUGGACAAUGGGCGCAAGCCUGAUCCAGCAAUGCCGCGUGAGUGAAGAAGGCCUUCGGGUUGUAAAGCUCUUUUGUCAGGAAAGAAACGGUAGAGGCUAAUAUCCUGUGCUAAUGACGGUACCUAAAGAAUAAGCACCGGCUAACUACGUG